GCAUUUUCAGUUAAAUUCAGCAACAAAUAUACACAGUUUACAACAUUCGCACACAUUUUCAGCAGGAAAUUCAUUUUCUAGUU